rnacentral:rRNA from 1 species
GACGAACGCUGGCGGCGUGCUUAACACAUGCAAGUCGAACGGAAAGGCCCUGCUUUUGUGGGGUGCUCGAGUGGCGAACGGGUGAGUAACACGUGAGUAACCUGCCCUUGACUUUGGGAUAACUUCAGGAAACUGGGGCUAAUACCGGAUAGGAGCUCCUGCUGCAUGGUGGGGGUUGGAAAGUUUCGGCGGUUGGGGAUGGACUCGCGGCUUAUCAGCUUGUUGGUGGGGUAGUGGCUUACCAAGGCUUUGACGGGUAGCCGGCCUGAGAGGGUGACCGGCCACAUUGGGACUGAGAUACGGCCCAGACUCCUACAGGAGGCAGCAGUGGGGAAUAUUGCAUAAUGGGUGGAAGCCUGAUGCAGCAACGCCGCGUGCGGGAUGACGGCCUUCGGGUUGUAAACCGCUUUCGCCUGUGACGAAGCGUGAGUGACGGUAAUGGGUAAAGAAGCACCGGCUAACUACGUG